rnacentral:tRNA from 1 species
GAGGGUAUAGCUCAAGUGGUAGAGGGCAUGCUUAGCAUGCAUGAGGUCCUGGGUUCAAUCCCCAUUACCUCCU